rnacentral:rRNA from 1 species
UUGAUCCUGGCUCAGGAUGAACGCUAGCUACAGGCUUAACACAUGCAAGUCGAGGGGAAACGACAUGAAAAGCUUGCUUUUGAUGGGCGUCGACCGGCGCACGGGUGAGUAACGCGUAUCCAACCUGCCCAUCACUUGGGAAUAACCUUGCGAAAGUAAGACUAAUACCCAAUGAUAUCUCUAGAAGGCAUCAGAAAGAGAUUAAAGAUUUAUCGGUGAUGGAUGGGGAUGCGUCUGAUUAGCUUGUUGGCGGGGUAACGGCCCACCAAGGCAACGAUCAGUAGGGGUUCUGAGAGGAAGGUCCCCCACAUUGGAACUGAGACACGGUCCAAACUCCUACGGGAGGCAGCAGUGAGGAAUAUUGGUCAAUGGGCGAGAGCCUGAACCAGCCAAGUAGCGUGCAGGAAGACGGCCCUAUGGGUUGUAAACUGCUUUUAUAAGGGAAUAAAGUGGGUCACGUGUGACUUUUUGCAUGUACCUUAUGAAUAAGGACCGGCUAAUUCCGUGCCAGCAGCCGCGGUAAUACGGAAGGUCCGGGCGUUAUCCGGAUUUAUUGGGUUUAAAGGGAGCGUAGGCCGGAGAUUAAGCGUGUUGUGAAAUGUAGACGCUCAACGUCUGCACUGCAGCGCGAACUGGUUUCCUUGAGUACGCACAAAGUGGGCGGAAUUCGUGGUGUAGCGGUGAAAUGCUUAGAUAUCACGAAGAACUCCGAUUGCGAAGGCAGCUCACUGGAGCGCAACUGACGCUGAAGCUCGAAAGUGCGGGUAUCGAACAGGAUUAGAUACCCUGGUAGUCCGCACGGUAAACGAUGGAUGCCCGCUGUUGGUCUGAAUAGGUCAGCGGCCAAGCGAAAG